ensembl:lncRNA
CCAAAUUCCUGCGGCUCCCUCGGUUCUCUGCCCUGUUGACAGAGGAGGCAGACUCUGGAUCUGACCGGCCGACCCGAGGGCACCCCACUCCACGUCUCAGAUUUCCCGUUCGUUCCCCUAGUCCCUAGUACCCUUAAUACCGCGGACUCAUGGGGCAACCUCCAGCCUCGGCAAGUACCGCAGCCCUGGGGACCUGGCGCUCCCCGCACCCGGAGACCUCUUGCCCUGCAGAAAAGGACGACACCCACCUCACCCUCGCAGCAACCCCCUUCUACACCCGCCUCCACGGAACCCUGAUCCUGGCUCCCCUUCUCUCCGACCCCAGGUAUCCAGGGGGUGUGGCAGUCCUGGGAUGUUGGGGCAAGAGGAAGAAGGGCGUUGCUCCCGGAGUUUCAAGGAAGAGAAACAGAUGGGAAGGAGUCGGGAGAGAAACCGAGGUGGAAGCCGAAGAGUGUGGAAUGGACCUGGCUUCUCUUCUGGUUCCAGGGGCUCCUGGGAUCGCGCUCCUCCUUCUCCCCAGCCCUCACCAUCCGGCAGCCUCUUCUGCCUCUGUUCCGCCGCCCUCUGGCUUCACUAUGGAACCCCCUGCGGCCCCUGGCCCCCUAUCUCUCCCCUCUGGGGCCCCUCUAUCCCUCCUCGGCUCCCCAGUCGACACCUUCGCCCCGCCCUGCAGUUCUCUCCACUUCUCACAUUUCUCCUCCUGCCCCCUCUCUCUACCCUCCUCUGUCCCAUGACUAUGAAUUUCACAGAGAAGCCUGUUUAUUUAGGUGACACCAAGUGGGAGACACACGAAACCGUUUCCCUAGGUAAGUCUCUUCUACCCACCCAGAAGGAAAAAUAACUACUUUUCCCUGAAGGGGCAUUCUCCUUUCGGAUGCCGGCAGGGGCUGGGGGUGGGGGUUGGGGGGGAGGGGGGCGCGGGAGGGCCAGGGAGCUCCAAUUCUGUUCCACCCCUGGCUCCACCGGGUUAGUUCGGUCCCUCAAUUGGGGCUGCAUGUACAGGUUAGGCAAAGUGAAAGAUACAAAGUAUACAAAAGGGAAUUCGACUACUUUGUUGAGGAACAAAAUACAUGUAAGAGAAUAUCCACAUUGCAAAGGAGCAAUGUGGAGAAAGAAGGAAAGGUUGAUGCUAGAAUGGGACAGACCUGAGUGGGGAUCUUUGCCCAGCGACUUGCAAACUGAGCGACCUUGCACAAGAAACUCUGGAAGUGGGGCCAACAAUUGUGUGUUUUGUUUUAAUGCUGUGUUUUUGUGGGGGGGGCGGGGAGAUUAGCCCUGAGCUAACAUCUGCCGCCAAUCCUCCUCUUUUUGCUGAGGAAGACUGGCCCUGAGCUAACCUCCGUGCCCAUCUUCCUCUACUUUAUAUGUGGGAUGCCUGCCACAGCAUGGUUUGCCAAGUGGUGCAUAGGUCCCUACCCAGGAUCCGAACUGGCGAACCCGGGCCCGCAGAAGCAGAACGUGCGAACUUAACCACUACGCCAUCAGUUGGCCCCAGCAGUUGUGUCUUAACAAGCCCUCCUGGUGAUUUCUGAUAUGCCCUAGGCUGAAAACCACUGCCCGAGAUGUUCCGUGACAUAUUAGCUCCCUUCUUCAUAGGGUGAAUGGCUUCUGAGACCCCAAACCGGAACAGACCAUGUGUCUGAAUGCAGAAGCUGAGCCCCAGAGCCCAGGGCCCCAGGAGCCUGAGAGAAAGUGCCCUAAGGAGACCCCUGCCAGGCAGGCGGGGAGCAAAGGAAGAGGAGAAGGCAGGACAGAUCUCCAGCUCCCUAUCUUCUGUGGGACCCUUUGACCCCUCAGCUGUCACAACUGACCUUUUCCAACUUCUCCUACCAGAGGCCCCACCCCCCACCAUGAAGCCCCUUUCCAGCCUGGAAUGUGAACUCCCCUUUCCGUGCCCCAAAUGUGGGAAGCGCUUCAGCCAGGGGGCCCAGCCUGACCCUGUACCUACACUCCCACACAGGUGACAGGCCCUGCUCCUGCAGCCGGUGUGGCCACAGCUCCUACCUGCCCCAGCCCCCGACACACAUGCCCACCAGUGUAGCAAGGGCUUCUCCCCAGAGCUCUGGCCGGCUGCAGCACACCACUGUUCACACAGGCACAUGGCCCUACGUCUGUGUCACCUGUGGAUGGGGUUCAGGAGCCACCCAGCCUCGUCUAUCGUGAGAAGACUCACUUAGUGAGCACAGCUUCCCCUGCCCCGAGUGUGGCAAGCACUUCACCCAGAGUGUCCGCUGAGCCCAGCACCUACGGACGGAUGCUCACAGGGGAGAAGCCCUACCUGUGCGGCUAGUGUGGCCAUGGCUUCAGCCAGCACCCCUGGCUCGUGGCCCACCAGUGGGUCCACCACUUGGUUCCUCUGCUGUCCCUGCCGGCCCACACCUGCUAGGUGUGCUCUUCCCUCGGGUGCGGGCAGUAGCCUGCUGCCACACAGUGCAGCACAUGAGAAGCCCUUCUUCUGCCCCCAGUAUCCCGAGGGCUCUGGCUACUCCAACCUGCAACACCACCAGCAGGACCACGGGGGGAGCGGCCCCACCACUGUGACCAGUGCAGCAAGGGCUUCAGACAGAGCUCAGGGCUGUGUGGCACCAGGGAGUCCACAGGGGCAAGACUGCGAGUGCAGUUUCCGGUCCAGCUCCGGCCUGGCGCAGCACCUGCAGGGCCGCUCUGGGGACAGGCCCUUCUGCUCUGGCGGCUGUGGCUUCACUCAGAGUCCCCAUCGACCUUGACAACAGGCCAGGGCUGGUGAGGAGCACAGGGAUGAACAUGGAGGGGGGGGACAUCUGGAGGCCAAGUCAAGGCCCCUGUGGGGAGCCAGCCCCCCAACUCCACAGCACUCUAGGAGGGUAGAGGGGCAGUUGGAAUGACUGCCUCUUCUGUGGGAGGCAUAAUGGAGCACAGCUUCCACCACACCCCAGCCAGAGCAACUUUCAGAGCAACCACAUUGGGUGGCCAGAGUGUCUCUGCUGGACCUACUCAAAGCUGGAAUGGCCAGGUCCACCUCACUUCUAGUCCAACGUGCCAGUUCCCCAGAGAGCUCCCGGCCUGGGAAAGAGCUCUCCCUGUUUCUUAGAAAGGACUCUGUACUUCUGAUCUUCUGUCCUCCGUCUGAGACAUUUAACCAGGAUGUCUGGGUCCUGCUGCCUCAUGGAUGGAUCCGAUUCCCUGGGAUUUUUUUGAAGGGAUCAUUUCAAAGAGAUAACUGAAUCCCCAUAGAUCUCCAUGACAACGCCCACCAUCAAAUCCUAGUCCCCCACUAACCCCUCCAACCCUCUCAUUUCCCCCGAGGCUUCUGGAUGCUUCUUGCCUCUGGUGCUAAAGCUACACCCAGCACACCUGUCUGAUGCUGCCAUCUCCCUAUGCCUACUCCUGGCCUUGCUAGGCCCUGUUUCAGGACCCCAGGGCUUCCUAAAACCUUCAUUGCACUUCAGUCUAGGAAUAAAGCCCAGAUGGAGGCUGCUCUUUCCAGCUGUACAGAGGCCUCCUAUUGAAAGGUGCAAAAGGGCAGAGGCAGGUGUCCAAGGAGAGGGCAGGGAUGUGGAGGAGAUGGAGACCGGAGGAAAAGCCAAAGGAGUUUGGAGGAGAAAGUGGGAGGUUCUGGAAUGUGGAGAAAAGACAGCAGGGCUGUGUGAGACAAGACCCACAAGAAACAUCUCAGAAAAACUUAGAAACAAAUGUCUUCAGGUACGAACAUCCCCGGGGAACCACUCAUUUCUUCUUCAGUUGACAAGUUUCCCCCAGUGUUGUGAAGGCACUGAGUUGCCAACACAAGCACUUCAUGUCCUGCCAUUUGCACUUUUUCCACAAAAUUGCUUGCUAACUGUCUUCUUCGUGUGUUGGCAAACUGAUUUUGAACAAAGAGUCAGGAGGGAGUCCCACAGCAGAGUCCCUUCCAGACUGGUGCCCCUGGCCCAGCCUGGCACUGAGGAGAGCGCUGUCAUCAUUCACCCUUUUAGAAGGUUCUGCUGGGGGAGUCACUCCCUGGCAACACUCACAGCAAGUUUAUGGUUACUGUUCAUGUUAAAGGAUAAGGUAGACCUCAGCUCUUGUAUUAACUUCCCCCAAAGUAUACUCUUUAGAACUGGGCAGAGUCCUCCCUAGGAGGUAUCAGAGGCUGAUUACUGACACACACACGAAGGAAUUAAAGAACUGGAGGGAUAAAAGGGUCACUGAGAGACUGCUAAUCAGUUUCACCCUUUCAGGAAAUAUGUAUUGAGUCCACCACGUGUCAGGGACUGUUCUGGGACCUGGGUAUUACAAACAGGCAUAUGAUGCAGCCCCCGCCUUCCACCGAUUUGAUCUAGGCGUGUUCAGCAUCUCAAUAUUGAACCCAGCAUCUAGUCCUAUCAAUUGUAUCCACUAUACUCUCUCAAGUAUGUCGUCUCUUUCCCACCCCUCCACCUCCCUUGUCCAGCUACCACCUGGACCAUCUGGUUCUCCUCUGAAUCAUCGUGAUGGCUGGAGAGGCUGGGAAUGGCGUUCUCUGUGAGCAGCACACCUGAGUAACAGAGGCCUCUUUGAAAUGUAAAUCUGAUUGUUUCAGGCACCCUGCUGAAGCCCAUUCAAUGGUUUCCCAUUGAUCUCAGGUUAAAGACCCCAGUCCUUAACCUGGCCUUUAAAGCUCUGCGAGGUGUGGCCGUGUCGGCCUCUCCAGCCUCAUCUCCCACCACUCACUCCUCUCUCCCUCGCGCAGAGCGCUCCACUUCCUGUCGGUGUCCCGCUUCCUCCCGCAGAGAGCGGCGGCCAGGCUGGGCCCUCCUCCUGAGAGGUGCUUUCUUCCAUUUCUCUCUUAGCUCCUCAUUCUUCGGAUCUCAGCUCCUUUACCACAUCCUUAGGGAAGGUACCCUAUCCUUUCCUUCAGGGUCCAAUUCCCUCCUCUGGGCUCCCACACCAAGGUGCACCUUUCUUGGAGGCACUUGGCACAGUUCAGUUCCAUAUUUGUUGGUGAUUAUUUGAUUGAUGUCUGUCUCCCCACAGACUGUAAGCUCCCUGAGGGUGGGCACCACGACUGCAGAGGCUCACUCUUGCUAUUCCCUGGAAACUCCAUAAAUAUUGAAAUAUUGGUUGAAUGGGUGCACAUGCGCCAGGAUCUGCGGCAGAGGCUAGAUAUUUCAGGAUUUCAGAGAGGGUGGAUUGAGGCCGUAAUUUCCCUCCAGCGGCUGCCGCCCAAGAGUCCCAUAUGCCAUUUCCUUAGCACCAUUCCUUUCUCCAUGUUUCCUGGUGUCAUCCAUCUUCCCAGCUCCACCUCUCCGGCACCCUCCUCACCUCCACCUUGCCUAGGAGAACCUUUCUCCCUUUAGUUUUUUAGUGCCCCUUCCUGGUCUUGGCUCCUUGGCUUCAGAAGCCAGCAUGGAAUAAUGAGGCAAUAGCACAGGAUUCAGAAACAAAAUAUCUGGAUUCAAUAACAAGGUUAAAAGUAUUAGCGGUGUGACCUUCAGCAGGCUAUUAAACCACUCGGAACCCUAGCUUACAUAAAAUGGGAACAACUUCGAAAUCAAGCAAGUUGGAGGAAUUAGAAAAUCUAAAAGCACCGUCAUCUAGAAAUACUGGAUAAAAUAUGAAAAAAAUUAAACAUAUGACUGAAUUCUCAAAAGGAAAGUAAAAUUCCAGGUGCCAGAAACAAAGAGGAAACUGAAAGCUGGAGGCUGAGCUGACUGUGGCCACGGUGACCAGAAGGCGGCUGGAGGGAAUGGGUUCUGUUAACUCAGGGCUUGAGUGCUUCCAGCCACCCGGGGACAGGAGACGAGGUCUUGGUCCUGAAGAGGUGGGGAAAUUAGAUGAAAGGAGCCAAAGCUGACUCAAGAAGAAAUUAAAAACCUGAACAGAUCUAUAAAUUCUAAUAAAUUAAAUGAGAAGCUAAAAAUGUACACGCACACAGCACCUAGAUGGUUCCUAGGUAUAUUAUUCUGCCAACUCUUAAAGGAACUAUUUAUUUAUUUAUUUAAACUACACCAGAUAACGGUAAAAGAGGAAAAUCUCACUUAUAAGACUAAAAGUCCUAAAUAAAAUAGUAGCAAACUGAAUCCAGUAAAGUUUGUGCAAGUGUGUGUAUAUAUGUAGGUAAGUGUGUGUGUGUGUGUACGUGUGUGUGUGUGUGUGUGUGUGUGUGACCAAGCAGGGGUUAUUCCAGGAAUGUAAGGAUGAUCUACUUAAAAAAUCUAUAAAUGAUAUUUACAACAUUGACAUAUUAAAGGGAAAAAAACCACGAUCGUCCCAAUAGGUACAGAGAACACAUUGGAUAAAGUUUAACCCUAAUUCAUCAUUUUAAAAAAAUCUAGCUAACUAGGAAUUGAAAAUAACAUCCAAUAUCAAGAUAAGAAUAUUAGUUUUUACUGUUUCUAUUCAACUCGUGUUAGGGAGUCUAAACUGGUACAAUAAGAAAGAGAAGAAAUAAAGCCAUCACUAUACAUAAAUGAUUGAUUGAUUAUUGACAAAGACAAUUUAUGAGAACCCACAAACAGAACCAGUACAGCCCUUUCUGGGGACAAGAUGAAUAUGCAAACACCAAUUUGCCUGUAUCAUAGCAACAAACAAAUGGAAGAUUUUGUUUUAAGAAAGUACCAUUUGUAAUAGCAACAAAAGCUGUAUGAUACUUAGGAAUAAGUAUAACAUAACAAAAUAUGUGCAUAUUUAUGGAGAAAAUUAUAAAAAUUUAUUGGAGAAUGUUUUGAAAAGACACAAAAGAAUGCUCAUGAAGAGGAAAGCUCAAUAUGAAGAUGGUAAUUUUUCUCAAAUCUAUAAAUUCAGUACAAUUCUAAUCAAAACCCCAGCCAGAUGUUUUAUGGAACUUGAUAAGCUGUUCUUAAAAUUUUUAUGGAAGAGUAAAUGCCCAAGAAAAGCCGAAACAAAUUUGAAGUGGAGGAAUACCAGAGUACUUGCCUUACCACAUAUCACAGCUUCCCUCUAAAGCUCAAGUGGUAAAGGCAGUGUGGUCCUCCAAUAGUGUAGACCACUGGUACAGGAAAGAACUUGUUGGAAUCAGACCCGCAAAGAUAUGAGAACUUGGCAUAUGACAAAAGUGACAUAGGUCAGUGGAAAAGGAUGAGCUAUUUGUUAAAGUGUCAGGUUAACCAGCUAUCCAAAUGGGAAAAAAAAAUAGAUCCCUACAUUACAACAUACCCCCAAAUAAAUUUCAGAUAGCUUAAAUACGUGAAAAACAAAACUUAAAACUGCUUGAAGAAGAUAUAAGACAAUAUAUUGUGAUAUUAGAGCAGGGAAGGAUUUCUUAAACAAGAUUCAAAAAGCACAAAUAAAGGAAAGAUGCACACAUAUGACUACAUUAAAAAAAAUUUUUUUAACCUCUAUAAGCCAAGAGACAUCACAACAAAAUAAAAAGACAAGCCACGGACUUGGAGAAUAUUUACAACCUAUAUGACCAGCAAAGGAUUUGUAUCCAGGAUUUAUAAAGAACUCUUGCCAAUCAAUAAGAAAAAGACAAGGCAGGCGAAAAUGAGAAAAAGAUAUCAGCAGCAAAGCACCAAAGGGGAAACUCAAAUGGCCAAUAAACAUAUGAAAAGAUGCUCAACUUCACUAGUAAUGAAGAGACGCAAAUCGAAACCAUGAGAUACGACUUUACACAUGCUAAAUCAGCAAAAUUAAAAUAACUCUGGUAACACCAAGUGUUGACAAAAAUGUGGGACAACAGGAAC